AAAAAAAUGAAUUGUCAAUGGGUCGCAGAUCAAGUUUAAGUAAAGCUGCUGGGAACUUGCUAUCUGGGAAUCGUUUGACAUCCACUGGGCCUGCUUCUCAGCCAGUUAAUGGUACUACUACCUCUCAUGUGGAUUCCAUAGCGAGACAGAAUCUAGCCUCUGCUGUUGAGCAUCAUGGCUCUGGUAGAAAAUCAUUGUCAGAGU
rnacentral:misc_RNA from 1 species